UGGCACAGCUAGGUUCCCUCUGCAAGUUCUGUUCCAUCUUCUGUGGUUUGUGCCUCCAGUAUUAAUUGAAUUUUAGAUUUGGCAUUUGAUUCUGCCGUCCUAUGUUUCCAAAUUAGAACUAGACUCUCUGGCCUUGGAGUAAAGAGAAACUACAUUUCAUGUUUUAACCUGGAGCGAGAAAAUUCUGCUCACAUGGAAGGUACCUGAAGCCUCAGGUUGUCCCGGGGGGAUUAAAAGGAGGCUGUCGCUCGGUGUCCUUACUCCUGGGUCAGAGGUUUGGGCAACUUUCCUCUCAGUAUUAUGACUGGAGUUUUGAGUAUAUCUUUUUACUUUUCUUGUCUCAGUGGGCACUGGGUACCAUUACAAGGUGAAAACCACAUGUUCUAGCCAUUUUAUUGUCUUUUGAACACCAAGUCUUUUGAUACGUUUUGGAGUUAAGUUUUCUAUUAGAGUGAGAAACCCAUUCAGAUUCAUGGGCAAUUAUUGAAGUUAGAAAAAUAGAGUUCAGAAUCAGAGAAAAGGAAGUUUAUUUAAAUUACCCAUGAGAUUAUAUUUUUCAAGAUUUCUAAAUCAGGGACAACUGGACUGUGGAAGUUCUUUAAACUAUGAAACUUCUAAUUGCUUAUUGUUGCUCAUUUCAAUACAGCUUCUUAACGGAGACAGAGAGGCCAUUUUACCUGAAAAUCUUGAAGAAUUUCAUUGUAACUUUCUAAGUCCAUUACCACAGCGUUCAGAGGGACCAGCCCCGUGCCUAUGAUCAGCCGCCACAUUCAGGUUGACAGCGGGUUGGGGGGGGGUUGUCUUUGGGGAUGAAUUGGCACUGGUGGAAGUGAGAAUACUUCAGACCCAGUCUUUUUAAACACGGCUAGACUGAAGCACAGCCAGGAAAGCAAUGAGGGUGGGAUUCAGCCCCAUCCUCCCCUCCCCCAUGUGUGUCUGGCCUCCUCCUCACCUUCUAGGAAUCUAACCUUAAAUCAGAGGAUCAAGGUGAGUGGCAGUGGAACAGGAAGGGGGAGUGGGGUCUGGCAGGGCGCAGAUCCCGGGGCGAGCCCUGUGAUCGCUCAUAAAUCCACAUAUUAUCUUUGCACACUGCGAAGUCCCCUGACAAGGGCCCGUGGAGGGUUCCCAUCUGUAGUGAUCGAUGCCUGAGGCACAUCGGGAGUCCGCACGGAUCACUCAGGAGACUGUGGUCCAAGUGAAUGACCGUUCUCCUGGGGAACCUCCAGCUUUAAGGAUGAUCCCCGGGAGUUCCGUUCUCGUGGUUUCCUCGGUGUAUUCGAGGGCCGCAGAAACUCCCAGAUCUGGGCGAAAUGCAAGCAUCAGCCUUCAAGUCCUUAGCCAGCCUCGCCAGAGAAGCCACAGAUGCAAAGUCAGCUUCCCAGGGCUGCUUAAGCAACUGGCAUUUUUGUCUCACAGUGAUGGAGGCUGCACGUGGAAGGCCGCGGCUCAGCAGGUUGGUUCCGGUGAGGCCUCUCUUCCUGGCUUGCAGAUGGGCACCUUUUGGCUGGGUCCUCGCGUGGCUUUGCCUCUGUGUGCGCAUGGCAAGAACUCCAUCUCUGGUCUCUUCCUCUUUGAUAGGACACCAGUCCUGCUGAGUCAAGGCCCACCCAUGACCCAUGGAGCCUUAUUACUCCCUAAUGGUCUGAUCUCCAAAUGUAGUCACAGUGGGAGUUAGGACUUCAAAAUAUGAAUUAUGGGGGACGCAGUUCCAUCCAUACACUCUCGUUUUCUUUCCCGACUCUCCUUGUGAUGUAGUUUUCACAGUAAGUGUCCCAUUUCCCAAUCGCCGUUGAGCCAGCAGACUUUGGUUUUGUGAGUUAUGGUAGAAGAGGGGCUGGUGAGCCUGCUCAUGUUUUUUCCUCUAAUUGUCGUGGCGACAUCUGAACUUUCGUGCUUCCCUCUGUAUGUGCUGUCCGCCCGCGUGGAUGUGGAACAGGUGGCUGUCUGAGUGGAUGGCUGGGGUUGGGGGGCUGGUACCAGGUGAGCUGAUCUUGAUGCUGGAGAGUGUGGGAGCGGCCAGUACGGGGGGGAGCCCCUGCUUGCUCAUUUUAUUUUCAUGCAGGCACUUCGAGCUCUCCUUUAUGCCACGAACCGGGUUAGGUGCUUUGUCUUAUCUCAGUCUGUGGUGUCCACUUCAAAUCCAACCCUUGCCUGGGGGAGGGGGGCCCAUCUCUGGCCCUUCCUGGUGGAGAGGCCCCUCCGCCUUCUCUCCUGUUAAUGAUGUCAUCGUCUCUCUUCUUUACCCUUUGACCCAGCUCCUUGUUGCUCUCACCAUCCAGAGCUGUGCUAAGGGGGCUGGCUGGAUGGGUGCGAUGCUUGUCGGUAGACACAGGAAAAGAGGAAGAGAAAAGGCAGGAUCCCACCAUUCCCUGGACGAAUUCAGUUCGCUUUUAGCCACGUGUGCCGUGAGGAUUCUGAGUGAAAUGGAGGGUGGGGGGCGCAGAAAGGCAGAAGCCCUCUCUUAAUGAUAAGGACAGGGCUGGCCUCAACGCUGGGCCAGACCUUCCCCUGUGAGCUGGCAUCUGUGGACCACUUGGCACACUCUGUAUCCAUCAGGGUCAGCAAGGAAAAUACAGAUCACGCUGAACAUUCUGAAGAGAGGACAUGUGAUGUGGAAACCAUUGUGUAGGUGACUGGGGAGCUGAGAAGGAGGGGGGGCUGGGGGUAAGGACAGGCAGGAGGCCGCGGGCUGCGACCCAGGGUCUCUGCAGAGAGCCGGGCACAGGCCUCGGUAACCACAGAGCAUGAUGCCCCUGAGGCUCUCAGGGGCUGCACCACGGGUGAGGGAUCCAGUUCCUCCCAACUUUUUUUGUUCAUCUGUCCCCUUGGCUGGGCACCUGACCUGGAGGACUGGCGAUUGGAAAUGACAAAGCCACUCACCUCCCUCUGUGGCAGGAGGUGUGGGUGCGGGUGGGGCUGGGAAGCCUUGUGGAGCUGGCUCUCAGCACAGCAGUCACUCCCAGUGUGGGGACACUGUCUAGGAGUCCCUGCCCAUAGCUCAGGGACUUUCUUCUCUCUCUCUCUCUUUUUAACCUGCCCCAUAAGCAAGUUCCCAGGCUAGGGGUCCAAUCCGAGCUGCACAAGUCUGCCUACCCCACAGCACCGCAAUGCUGGCUCCAAGCUGCAUCAGCAUGCAGCAAUGCCGGAUCCUUAUCCCCUGAACGGGGCCAGGGGUCUGAACCCUCAUUCCCAUGGAUCCUAGGUGGCUUCUUAACCCUGAGCGCCACAACGGAGGACUCCUGCCUUCCCUCUCUGGCUGGAUCACUAACGCUUCCUCCUGUCACUCCCACUCCCCAACCUACGGCCCCUGCAGGGCUCCGUGCAGGGAAGGAAGAGGUGGAGCUUCUGGGUGAGGUCUGACCUUGGCCUUGGCUGCGGAGGGCAGGGGCAACCGAGGGGCAGGCGGCCUCUCCAGAUGGGCAGGUAGCCGGUUUACCACACAGGGAACUUACAUAAGAGGCUUGUCCUGGACAAGGACCUUAAAGUCCCCGUGUGGGCCUGGCGGGGCUCAGUCCCUUGCCCCUCUCGCUAUCACCCUCCCUCUGGCUGCACUCUUGGAGGGGGGCCGGUGGGACGGAGGGGGACAGCAUGGGGGUGCAGGGCGGGCGAGGAGCCAGUAUCCACGCGGGCCAUUUCAGUGCACUGGGGGGGUUCAAGGUCUCUGCACACGCGGUGUCACUGCCAGGAGCAGGGGGGUGCCAGGUGGCACUUGAUCGGAACAGGCGUUUCUGGUUCUGGCGACCAGCAGGCGGGAUGGCCCCUGAGCAUCUGGGAAGAGAGUCCGUGGCCAUUUGGAGCAGGAACUCGCGGGCUCCUGCGUGGAUGCACGACAGCAUCCCCCAGUCACUGCCGGGAGCAGACACAGUCACAGCCCGCGGCUUCCAGCUGCUUCCAUGGGGCUGCACAGCUGAGCAGAGACCAGGCGAGGUCUGCUUUCCUGAGGUGGAUUCAGGUAACAGAAAGUGAACGGUUUCAAAGCGAGGGUUCAGUGUGUCCCCUGAGUGGGACAUCCCUGCUCCCCGGCUCCAGAAGCACCUCCUUCGCCCUGAAGGAGGACCCGGCACCCUUCACUGCCCCCCGCCCCAGCUCACUGAUCGUGCCUCGUCUGCCGGCUCAGCUGCUGGGGACCCUUGGCCUGUGCUGCCUGCCUUUCCUGUCGGGCUGCUGUCUCGGGCUCCUCCCGUGUCCUAGUGGGUGUCGGCAUGUCACCCCUUUGUGUGGCUGAAUGAUGCUCCGUGCGCAUUUGCCGAGCCAUGUCUAUCCACGUGUCUCCUGGUGGGCGCUUGUGUUGUCUCCAGUUUAUCACGGUUGUGAACUCGCCUGGGGGUGCGCGUAAAACGAGGGUAAUGGUGUUGUUUUGCUUAGCGGAUUUGUUCGGUGUUGAGGGUGUCUCUUUUGUGUAUAAUUCUCAAGGCUGUGGCCUCGGGGAAUGUUACACUUUCAGAUGGCAAGUUGCACAGUGGAGAAUGACCUUUGUUUUGUUGGAGGUUCCAGGAGCAUCAUGACCGUAUGACGGGGCCCCUUUGCUGCUCCACAGAAGCUGGCACAACAUUGUAAAUCAACUAUACUUU
rnacentral:lncRNA from 1 species